rnacentral:rRNA from 1 species
UGGGGAAUAUUGGACAAUGGGCGAAAGCCUGAUCCAGCCAUGCCGCGUGUGUGAAGAAGGUCUUCGGAUUGUAAAGCACUUUAAGUUGGGAGGAAGGGCCAUUACCUAAUGCGUGAUGGUUUUGACGUUACCGACAGAAUAAGCACCGGCUAACUCUGUGCCAGCAGCCGCGGUAAUACAGAGGGUGCAAGCGUUAAUCGGAAUUACUGGGCGUAAAGCGCGCGUAGGUGGUUUGUUAAGUUGGAUGUGAAAUCCCCGGGCUCAACCUGGGAACUGCAUUCAAAACUGACUGACUAGAGUAUGGUAGAGGGUGGUGGAAUUUCCUGUGUAGCGGUGAAAUGCGUAGAUAUAGGAAGGAACACCAGUGGCGAAGGCGACCACCUGGACUGAUACUGACACUGAGGUGCGAAAGCGUGGGGAGCAAACAGGAUUAGAUACCCCCGUAGUCCCUGAGCGGGCUGGCAAGGCGCAU